CAUAAAUGUAAAUGUAACAGAUUAGGUUGAAAGAUAUUUCCAUAAAUUAUUUAAAUAAAAGAGUGCUACUCUUAUUAGUUGUUCUUAAAAUUAUUACAGUUUAAAAACCACUCACCCUGUACAAUACAUUACACUUUUCACUGAGUUUCAUCACUGCACUAACUUCAUCUUUCCACAAUUACUUUCGUAAUUGUUGUUAGAUAAAGCACAUUUUCAAACAAAAACAAAAACGCUUUACCAAUUUCCAAGCCAUAGUUGUCAAGCAAACAGAAGGCUGCACUUUCUGCUUUCAUUUCAGUGAGCUUAACUUUUGUGCAUAUGUGGUAUGAGUAUUUUACGUAUUUAAACAUUAUUAUUGUUGUAGAAGUGAACGUACGAGAGUGUUGCAAUUGUUCCUGUUUCACCUAACCUCUUUUAGGCUAUGUCUGAUAUUCUUUGAACACACACAGACAAAGCCUAGUAGAGGCUAGAUUCAGUCCAAGAAUUUUCUUCUUCAAAUACUUGUACAACGAACGGAAGUGUUAAAAUAAUAACCGUGGCUGUAGGUUAAUCUGAAACAUCUUAUAAAAAAAAUACUUACAUGACUAUGUAUGUGUGUACAUAUGUACAUACAAAUACUUCUCUGCAUAUUUGCAUCAGCGCGCUGACUUAUCAAAUCAAGCGUUACGCGGUCACGCACUUUAAACGUUGCAACAACAAAAAUUGGCACACACGCGCAAAAAGCAGUAGCGAUCAACGGCCUAGAAAUAAAUAUAAGCAACAACAAAAAAACAAUUCCGCAAAUGAAGAAAGUAGAAAGUGUAUGAGGUGUACUCGAAACCAAGCAAAAAAGCAGAAAAAAUAUACAAAAAUAAAUAAAAAAGUGAAAAUAAUCGGCAAUAAGUUAAUUGAGCAACGCUUGAGCGCGCAAAACGAAAUAAAUCGACUUUUCGUUGAAAGGUGUUUAAAGGAAAGAAACACUAAAUCGGUUAAAAAAGCAAAAGUGAAGUUUUUAGCAGUAUGUAUAUAUAAAGCAAAAAUCAGGUCGAGCAACGCCCACUGCAAGUCGGUCAGCGCGCAAAAUAACAACAAACAACAAAGAUAUAUCGAUGUGUGUGUGUGUGUGCUUGCAGUGGUGUGCAAAAAUCAAACGGCAGCUGUGUUAGCGCCGAUAUUCCCCCUCACUGAGUAUACGGCACGCCACACCACGUCGCCCCGCUGCACCGUCCGCCCGCUCUUUUCAACUCUCUGUGCGCAAUGUGCUUUUCUUGCACGCGAAGCACUUUCACUUUCCAACAACAAGUAGCGGUGCAAUGCGAAUGCACACGUACUACAAUUCGCGGCAAUAAUAAAAUAAGAAAACAGUAACAACAACGACGUCAUGAAAUGGCAACACUUCAAUGUUGGCUCGUGCGCCAAGCGGCGGCACAGUGAUGCGCCUCUGCUGAAAUUGCGUGCAAAACUUUUAAAUAUUGGACAUAAAUUUAAAAAAAUUAUAAUAAAAAUUCGACUGGCGGUCCGAAAAUAUUAAAUGUUCAUUAAAGUAAUCAUUUUUUAAUAUUAAUUGAUGAAUUACAGUUUUGACAUAUUUGUAAUAGUGUCGCAACAGGCAUAAUGUUAUAUUUGUCUAAGAAAUAUAAUAUUAUUAUAAAUUUUUUAAAUCAUAUCAAAUUUGAGAAAAGUGUUUUGAAAUAUUAAAAAAAAAAUAGUUAAAACUUAAUUUUAUUGUUAGUAUUAAUUUUGUAUAUUAAAAAAAUAAACAUUUAAUUAUAUUUAAUUUUACAAUUUAGUAGAAAAAAAUUCCGUGCUACCUUGCACGGGGUAUAUUAAAUAUAUAUAUAAAUGAGCAACGUGACGAGCUGAGUCGACCAUUCCAUGUCCCUCUGUCUGCCUGUACAUUCGCGAACUAGGCCCUCAGUCUUUGAGAUAGCGUUCUGAAAUUUUGCACUUGCCAUUUAAAUCCCAAGAAAUCGUUCAUUUGUUAGGACCGCGGAUAUCGAAUCGCUUUAGCAUACAGCUGCCAUACAAAUUGAACGAUCAAAAUCAAGUUCUUGUAUAGAAAAUUUGUCAAAAAUUUUAGAAAAAAAUUUUAAAUCGGACGACAGCGUAUAGCUGCCAUACAAACUGCACAAACGAAAUCAUGGUUUCGUAUGGAAACGUUUUUAUUUGUAAAGCACAUUUUAGCUUCGGUGCAACGGAAUGUAAUUUUUUUUCUGGUUUGUUUACUUUAAUUCACAAAAAACGCUACUUAACACCACAGUACGCAGCGAAAUUGCUCGGCACGUAGUAGUGCAUGUGCGACGGUACUUUUGUACCGACGGCCAAGUGGACCACACCAAUUAACAUCCACAUCAGUCAAAAACAAAAUAUAUACUAUAAAAUAGCAACAAAACUAAAAGCUAAUUAAACAACAACAACUAGCUGUAGCAGCAAGUUAACAGCUGUCAAAUGUGUUUUCAUCUUUGCAUACCGAGAAGAAAGCCAAAUUGUGACAGAAAUGAUUGUUGUUGGAGCAAAUGUCGGGCUGACGCGAUCAUGACGAAUGGACGGGUGGCUGGAUGCGGUUGGAGGUACAUGUAUAUUUAUUAUAUAUGUAAAUUUAUAUGUACAGAAAAUAGCCAUAGGAGCAUUUUUGUAAUGGAAAAAUAUACAAAAUUAUGACUUUGUAGAUUAUAUACAUAUUUAUGUACCUAGCGAAGUGUGCAGUAUAUAUGUAAAUUGAAAUCAAAAUAAACGUAGCAAUAAUAAACAAUUUGUAA